CAAGGAAUGACUACCGUAAAGGUGCAUGAGUGGGGUUUGGCUUGUUACGGAUGGUUGGAUGUCUGCUUGUGCAGCAACUUCUAUGCGUGCAUACCUCCUCAGUCCCUUGUCAAGGCUUGUUUUGCAUUGAACAAUUCGUAGGUUUUCUGUGUUGCAUUCCUAAACCGAUGGUAUCGUUUGGAUCGAUUGAGUGCUGUUUUUCGUCUUAUGUCGCGCAUGCGAUGUGGGAUGAACCUUGAAGCGGUCUUUGGGAUCCACCUCGUUGGUGCUUUUGCAUCGACGAUGUGGCCCUUGAAGCAUCGUGUGGUAUCUUGUGUAUGGAACUUGAUGCGGGCAUGGGGUCUCUCGCGAUCCUUUGUUUGCCCUUGUUAAGCGUUCUUGCUUCUCCUAAACGAUUGUUCGUCAUGUCUCGACUCGUUCGUGCAUGGCGGGCUACGUCAAAGAGGA
rnacentral:misc_RNA from 1 species